CUCAAAUUCCCUCUAAUUCCUAAACUUUCUCAAAUUCUUUAAAAUCAAUUUCUAAUUGAAUACACCUAGAAUGUUAUAAACUUCUUAAAAAUCAUAACUGAAUACAUCCGAAUUUCUAAGGAUUUUAAUAAACUAUCUUAAAAUUCUAAUUGAAUACACCUUAAAUUUCAGAGAAUCACUUAAAAUCCUAAUUGAAUACCCCUAAAUUUAUUAAAAGAAUUAAAAUCCCUCAAAAUCCCAAUUGAAUACACCCCCCGAAAUCUAUGAGUUUAUAAAUCCAUUAAAAUUUUACAUUUCCUUUGGAGAUGCUCUUAAAAAACAAACAGUUCUAAUCGUCGUAUAAAAUCAAGGAAGAUACAUAAUUUGAGUCAUCAAGCAAGUAAAGGAAACUUACUUAGUUGGUGCCUAGUUAAUAGAUUUUUCUCAUGAAAAAUAAAUGUGAUGGGUUGAAGCCGAAAUUAAAUGAGUUAUAAGGGAGAGAGUCUAAUUUUCAAUUUUUUAACCUAGUGAAACAGUAAUCCUACACGAAACCCAAGAGUUAGAGGUUAAAAAGGGAACUUUCAUGAAAAUGGUUUGGACUAAGUUUAUCUAUUCUAUAUAUAUAAAGGGAAAAGCCCAAAUAGGUGAAGCAUUUCAAAAUACCAAAAACACCCCUAUGUUUUCUUCACUAUCAAACCUAAAAAAUUUCAAAAAACUAGGACAAAUUGGUAAAAAAAAAUUAACUACAUAGAAAACUUUAAUCGAA
rnacentral:lncRNA from 1 species